UUCGCCCCCGUGACUCUGCGAGAAGUCCAUUGAACCUUAUCAUUUAGAGGAAGGAGAAGUCGUAACAAGGUUUCCGUAGGUGAACCUGCGGAAGGAUCAUUG
rnacentral:rRNA from 1 species